ACGGGAGGCAGCAGUGGGGAAUAUUGCACAAUGGGGGAAACCCUGAUGCAGCGACGCCGCGUGAGUGAAGAAGUAUUUCGGUAUGUAAAGCUCUAUCAGCAGGGAAGAUAAUGACGGUACCUGACUAAGAAGCCCCGGCUAACUACGUGCCAGCAGCCGCGGUAAUACGUAGGGGGCAAGCGUUAUCCGGAUUUACUGGGUGUAAAGGGAGCGCAGACGGCCAUGCAAGUCUGAAGUGAAAUCCACGGGCUCAACCCGUGAACUGCUUUGGAAACUGUAAGGCUAGAGUGCAGGAGAGGUAAGUGGAAUUCCUAGUGUAGCGGUGAAAUGCGUAGAUAUUAGGAGGAACACCAGUGGCGAAGGCGGCUUACCGGACUGUAACUGACGUUGAGGCUCGAAAGCGUGGGGAGCAAACAGGAUUAGAUACCCUGGUA
rnacentral:rRNA from 1 species